AUCUGCCUACGGGGGGCAGCAGUGGGGAAUAUUGCACAAUGGGGGAAACCCUGAUGCAGCGACGCCGCGUGAGUGAAGAAGUAUUUCGGUAUGUAAAGCUCUAUCAGCAGGAACGAGACAAGACGGUACCUGACUAAGAAGCCCCGGCUAACUACGUGCCAGCAGCCGCGGUAAUACGUAGGGGGCAAGCGUUAUCCGGAUUUACUGGGUGUAAAGGGAGCGUAGACGGCAGUGCAAGUCUGGAGUGAAAGGCGGGGGCUCAACCCCCGGACUGCUCUGGAAACUGUACGGCUGGAGUGCAGGAG
rnacentral:rRNA from 1 species